UUUUAACCCUGUGACCACGUGGAAUUGUCUCUGCAACCAUGCAGAAUUAAGGCAUAAAAAAUAGACAUUCAUCCAUGAGUCAAAAGGCAGUGGGCCUGACUCAAACUCAAUGCCGACCCUGACAUACUGUAUGUGUGCAAGGUUGUGCUGAGCGACUAGUGCUUUUUGAGGUUGGUUGGGUUUUGUUUAGAUUUAGUUUGAGAAUUUUAGUUAAAUGUGACCCGUUUCAGGCAACUAGGCAUAUGUUGCAAGUCAUGAGUUCACAGGAGAGCCAUUUCAAUGUUUUUUAACAUUUUUCAAAUUGAGUUUUUUUUACAGAACUAUAAGGCUAUUUUAGCUGGUCAGUCUGUUGGUAAUCCUGUCGAAUGCGGGUUAAUUUAAAAUAUAUCGUGUAGUAGCAUAUGCGUUGCUCUCCACUUUCUGGAGGAUCUUGUUUUGAAAUCAGUGGAAUUAGAGUAUUGAUAGUUGAAGAGAUGGAGGAAACGCCUGUCUCCGGAUUAAAUCUUGUAAUUAAGGGCAACCGUGGCAUGGCAUCUGCGACAGGGAGACGCGUCCAUCACGCAUGGUGUAUUCGGUAACAGGUAGUGAACCAGUUCUCUCUGAAGCAAGAGGAGGAGGUCAGGUUCAUCAGAUGGUCACCACAACCUAAACUCACCUGGAGAAACGAAGAGGGGACAGAGAUAAAAUAAUGAACAACAAGUACACAACACCUCUGAUCCUCAGGGCUUGGUGAGUGUCAGUAGUUGGCUGCUGUACUCUCCCUCAGAUUCUGAUUGGCUCUCCUGUACAGUCUCUCUGUCGGAGGAGAAGAAAGAGACUGGAGACCAGCCCCAUGUAUACAGAAAUCGUAAUACACAGCAACAUUUGUCAAUUGAUGAAAGAGCCUUCAUUACGUCUGUGAUCAUUUACCGCUAGUCGCCUCUACUGCUAUCGGGCUCUUCAUCUGGAACAGAAAAACAGGCAUGUCAACAAGAUAAUAAAAUGAAUAGCAAUGCCAAAUGCAAUUACAAUGUUUUAAAUGAGAAGUCUAUAUUGAUGGUCUAGUAAUGGUAGAACUGACUGAUUGGAAUGUUAAUAGGGUGAGAGAGUCUAUCAUCUCCACAUAUACACUGCGUGCACAAUUAGUAGGCAAAUUGUAUUCCUCAGGAUUCAGUUUAUUGCUGAACAAACUCGGUGCUCUCAGUCAAUCCAAAAUGUUACUGAACCUCAAACCUGAAUGUUUAACAAAGGAAAAGUGAGUUUUGUCUUUCUCAGGGGAAUAUAUGUGUGCACAAUUAUUAGGCAACAAAAUUACAGAAAUAAUUUCGCCCAACUCGCUUGUUUAUUCUACAUUUUUAGAGUAAGUGUGUCAUAAAAUAGAUCUGCAGGAGGGGUGAAGUCAAGCGCAGGAGACUCAGGUACGUGAAACACGUUUUAAUGAAGAAGUCAAGUCCAAAGAACCGAACUGACAAGGCAGGGUAAAAAUGAUUCCAUAAAAGACAAAACACAGUCUAGGAAAGUAGCGGGACGCAGCCCAGCAACCCAAAUGCCAAGACACGUAACGGUAAAAAAAGGGCAAGAAAAAAUAAAUCCCCAACCUACAAUAACAGAGACGAAACAACCCCAAACACAAAACAGACAGACUAAAUACCCCACUAAUUACUAAACACAAAACAAGUGCAACACUAACCAGACAUUACCAAACGGAUAAGGAAAUUGGUGGCAGCUAGUAGGACGACGAGUGCCGCCCGACCGGAGAGAGGCGCCACCUUCUGUGGACGUUGUGACAAAGUAACAAAUAAGUAACACAAUAUAGCCACCCUUGUCAACGGCCAUGAGCCUUCCAUCCAUGGAGUCUGUCAGUUUCUUGAUCUGUGUGUGUGUGUGUGAGAGAGAGAUUUUCACAUUGGACACCGGACAGGAUAAAUACUCCAGAUAUAACAGACUGACCCUAGCCCCCUGACAUACCCCUCCUCCACCUUGCUAAUUCUUCUCAAGUCUUUUGCAGUUCAUUUGCGCCCUUUUCCUCUCCAUGCUUUUUUUGGACAAAACGUUUGAUUGUCAGGUGGAAACGCCUCAAUAGUUUAGCUAUUUCAAGUGUUGCUUCCGUCUGAAAGACAUUUUACAAUUUUGGACUUUUCAGUGUCAGCUAAAUCUCUUUUUUUGGCCCAUUUUACCCGAGGCAAUGAAGCUGCCUAAUAAUUAUGCACACCUUGAUAUAAAGUGUUAUUCACUUCCACCACACCCUCCCUCAUUACACAAGAAAAUGAUUAAAUCCAAGAAGCAUUCAAGUUUAUAUGGUUUGGAGUUGAAAAUGUGCGUAGAAAUAAGGAUAAGAUCAGAAUACUCACUUGCCUAAUAAUUGUGCACGCAGUGUAUAUAUCAAAUUGUAUUUGUCACAUCCACCGAAUACAACAGGUGUAGACCUUACAGUGAAAUGCUUACAAGCCCUUAACCAACAAUGCAGUUGUAAGAAAAAUAAGUGUUAAACUCUCCUCUGAAAGUGAACAAAUUGAAGAUGUAUUAUAGAUUUUGUUUGCAAAUUUCACUGUGAUAUUCUCGGUUGCAUGUCUUAUGAGUGUCGACAAAUAGCGAUGCAUGUUGUGUAUCUGUGUUCGGCUGACUGGAAAGAAGCCUUUAUUGUGACGUUGGUCCUGUUUUUGGCCAUCUAUGGUCUUCAUCCUGUACAAACAGAGGUAUAGAACUCCAAAAUAUUAGCGGUUUAUGAAUCAUAGCAGCAAUAUAUGACAGUAAUACCAACCCUAUACAGAAAGGUGGCGAACAUAUUUAAUUAAACAAUAACAUAUUUGGGAUUUUAGUCCAGAAACAGUGCAGGUAGUGUAUUUAAUCUGAUCUGUGUGAUAAAUAAACUAAGCGUAAGAUAUGCGUUAUGAAAUAACAUGAGCCGUGAUUGCUCUUAUUUUGACAUGAUUGCGUCUCUAUAUUUCAGAUCAAACUCAGUUGGUAAGAUGCCAGCAGCUAACUGUUUCAUUCUGAUCUCUGGGUGAAAUGCUAACAUAAGAUACAUGAGACAUUUUUUUAGGAAACCUUCCAAAUACACAAAUGAUGAUAUACACAUAUCUCAAUAGUAUUUGACUCUCCUUGUUACUUAAUUCCCCUUUUACAAUAACCUUCACCUUUUUCCAUUCUACAGAGACAAAACAAUGACUAGAAGCCAAUGUUCACUAUCAUGAUAUAAGGCAAUCAUAUAACUUGUUGAGCUCUUAUCUUACAAUGUCUUUUAACUUGAUAAGCAAUUUUGACCUAGUUUGUAUCAGUCACUUAUAUAUGAUAAUGAAUGGCAAGAUAAUGACCUAAAUGUAUUCUGUUGGGGGCAGAAAACACAGUGCAGACACCUAUUGAACAGAUAACAGCUGGUAAAGAACAGUAAUGGGGAGAAAACAUUUCAUUUCUCAGUCUAAAUUGGAACUAUAAUUGACAGUGUUUGCAGUGUUCAUAAAAAAUGUUUCCUGACAUUUCAGAGUGAGUUAAAUCGUAAACUAUGCACUUUAAAUAGUAAUAAACCAUACAAAGUUUGAAAAAAAAUUAAAAACAAGUCGCUUACUAAAAGGGAUAGUUCACACCAAAAUUACACUUUGGUUUCUAUACCCUGCAAGCAGUCUAUGGACAAGAUAUGACAGCAAACCAUGCUUUGGUUUAGUUGCACUGUUUCUAUAUGCUUUCCCCCCCCCAAAAGUAUCUCGAAUUGAUUACAUAGCUCAACAAAGUCACUUAUAGAUGAUUUGAAAAUGGUAACAUAAAAUGCUGAUAUCAGUCCCAUGACUUGAAUGGGAUUUGUGCCACAAAAUGUUAGCAUAUGGAAACUGUGCCAGGGAAACUAAACCAAAGUAUGGAUUAAUGUCAUACCUUGUCUAUAGACUGCUUACAGGGUAAGGACAGCAAUAUAUCAUUUUGUAAUUUGGAUGAAUUAUCCCUUUAAUAUUUUUUCAUGCAGAUUAACACCAGGUGAAAUGAUUUAAAGGUAAGAAAAAACACUGUAGGAUAGGAUAAUAAGUAUGUAUUAGUUUAUAACAUAUUUAUACAACGGGUGGGUCUAAUCCUGGAUGCUGAUUGGUUAAAACUGAGUUCCAGACUGGUGUCUUUUCCACAAGUUACCACCCGCUAAGGCUAUGAAGUUGAAAUGCCCAUUCACUAUUCCAUCUGACAGUGCAAUCCACUGUCUCAUUAGCCCAGCCAGGCAAUUUAUAAACUUGUUCUUUACUGUAAAAAGCAUCUAGCCAUUAUCACCCAUGUCUUCUAGACUAGCAUUUGUAUUAUCCUGUCUGUCUCUCUGACAUUUCCAACAUUGUUUCAGUAUUCAAAUUCGAUCUCCAGCUGUCCCAUAGUAACAGACAGACAGGCUGUCAACUUUUCUCAGCCAAUCGAAAUCUGGAAUCAGCAUAAUUUUUAUGGAUAUGUACAAAAAAAAGGUCAAAAUAAAAUCCCAGAAUGCAGCUAAUUUGCUGUCAUUCCAGCUUCAGUUUGAAGUGAUUGUUUUAGCUGUGUAGUUGGCUAGCUCCUCUGAACAUUGUCCUGAUGAGAGACCAUAUUUUCUAUGCCAGGUGAAAUCUCCCAUCAUUAGUUCAUUGUUAAAAAAUAAUCACUAGAAAACAGCUUAACCAAACCCAAAUAAAUUGAUCUAGAAAUACCAAUCAAUUUUGAGGAGAGACAAGGUCAAUCACCAAUCAGGAUAUUACUUAAUUCAAAACGUAUUAAUAACAUUGAUUCAUUGUUUCAAUAAUGAAGAUGGUCAACAAACCACCUCUAGAUGAUUCGUUGAGAGCCCAAUGAGCGGAUUUGAGCCACAGCAUUUUAUAGCAAAGUACAUCCACCUGAAUGUUCAUGACAACCAACAGAUGUAUGGAAUGAGUCACAAGGUUAGGAUUUGUAUGAAAGAUACUAAUAAUUCACAGCAGACAGUAUUUGUUGUAAAGACUGUUCUCAUUAUGUAGAAACCCAUACUCGAGCGAUCUCUCUGUGGUACCUUCCAGCACACAAACAUCAACUCUUGCUAUAGAAUGCGGUCUUUAGUUUUUUAUCACCAAAGGCAUCAUAAACCUCCAGACGAGCUUCAAUGCCAUACAACUCCUUCCGUGGCCUCCAACUGCUCUUAAAUGUCAAGUAAAACCAAAUGCAUGCUCUUCAACCGAUCGCUGCCCGCACCUGCCCCGCCCGUCUAGCAUCACUACUCUGGACGGUUCUGACUUAGAAUAUGUGGGCAACUACAAAUACCUAGGUGUCGGGUUAGACUGUAAACUCCAGACUCACAUUAAGCAUCUCCAAUCCAAAAUUAAAUCUAGAAUCGGCUUCCUAUUUCACAACAAAGCAUCCUUCACUCAUGCUGACAAACAUACCCUUGGAAAACUGACUAGCCUACCGAUCCUUGACUUCGGCGAUGUCAUUUACAAAAUAGCCUCCAACACUCUACUCAACAAAUUGGAUGCAUUCUAUCACAGUGCCAUCCAUUUUGUCACCAAAGCCCCAUAUACUACCCACCACUGUGACCUGUAUGCUCUCGUUGGCUGGCCCUCGCUUCACAUUCGUCGCCAAACCCACUGGCUCCAGGUCAUCUAUAAGUCUUUGUUAGGUAAAGCCCCGCCUUAUCUCAGCUCACUGGUCACCAUAGCAGCACCCACCCGUAGCACACGCUCCAGCAGGUAUAUUUCACUGGUCACCCCAAAGCCAAUUCCUCAUUUGGCCGCCUUUCCUUCCAGUUCUCUGCUGCCAAUGACUGGAACGAAUUGCAAAAAUCACUGAAGCUGGAGACUCGUAUCUCCCUCACUAAUAUUAAGCACCAGCUGUCAGAGCAGCUUACAGAUCAUUACACCUGUACAUAGCCCAUCUAUAAAUAUAUAUAUAUAUCCUGUUGGGGCUAGGGGGCAGUAUUGAGAAUUUUGAAAAAAAUAUGUGCCCAUUUUUAACUGCCUCCUACACCAACUCAGAAGGUAGGAUAUGCAUAUUAUUAACAGAUUUGGAUAGAAAACACUCUGAAUUUUCUAAAACUGUUUGAAUGGUGUCUAAGUAUAACAAAACUCAUAUGGCAGGCAAAAACCUGAGAAAAAAAAAAAAUAUUGUGGCUGUACUAUUUUUUUUUUUGAGUCAUUGUUAUUAGAUACCACAGUGAGAAAGGAUUCAUUUCGCACUUCCUACGGCUUCCACUAGAUGUCAACGAUCUUUAUAAAGUUGUUUGAAGCGUCUAUGAUGAACAGAGACCGGAUGACAAGGAAGAGAAUUUGACCUCCCUAAGAUGUCGUCACUUCAUUAUUGGCUGCACCUGCGCAAUCAUUGCGAUACAUUUUUCAAAUACGCUUUUCAAGACACAGGAGAGGUCGGGUUGAAACAUUACUGAUGUUUCACGUUAAAAAUGGCUCUAAAGAUUGAUGCUAAACAACGUUUGACAUGUUUGAACGAACGUAAAUAGAUUAUUUUUUUUACUUUUCGCCGUGACU
rnacentral:lncRNA from 1 species